UCCUAAUCUCUCCCUUUUUGGGUGCCUUUCCCCUCCUUAUAUAAGUUGAAGGGGCAGGCUUACAUUUAGAGUCCUAGUAGGACUACAACUAGUCUCUUUUCUAUUACAAGCUAUAUCCUAUUCUGGUUCUUGCUUCCCUUUUCAGAGAACUUUUCCUCUUCUUGGACCUUCUCUGCAAUCCAGCCCUCGAGGCCCCUUCGUGAUUUAGCCUUCUACCAGGUUGCACACUAGGCCUUAGUCCUUUUCAUCUAGGCUGAUCCAGUAAACAAGGUGACCCAUGAGCUGCCAAGUGAUGGGGCGGGUUAUACCUCCUGUCCGUGUCAAACAUGGGGAAUAUCCACAACAUUAUCCC
rnacentral:lncRNA from 1 species